rnacentral:rRNA from 1 species
UGAACGCUAGCGGGAGGCCUAAUACAUGCAAGUCGAACGGUAACAGGGUAGCAAUACCGCUGACGAGUGGCGCACGGGUGAGUAACACGUACACAACCUGCCGAAUACUGGAGCAUAGCCUCGGGAAACUGAGAUUAACUCUCCAUAAUGUUACGAAGUGGCAUCACUUUGUAUCUAAAACUCCGGUGGUAUUCGAUGGGUGUGCGUCUGAUUAGCUAGUUGGUGAGGUAACGGCCCACCAAGGCUACGAUCAGUAACUGGUCUGAGAGGAUGAUCAGUCACACGGGCACUGAGACACGGGCCCGACUCCUACGGGAGGCAGCAGUAGGGAAUAUUGGACAAUGGAGGCAACUCUGAUCCAGCCAUCCCGCGUGAAGGAUUAAGGCCCUCUGGGUUGUAAACCGCUUUCAGUAGGGAAGAAGCGAAAGUGACGGUACCUACAAAGAAGCACCGGCUAACUAUGCGCCAGCAG